GACCUUUUACUAAAAAAUAGAUAACUGAAGAAUAGUAGAAGUUUCCCGUAGCUCGUCAAUCAUAUACUGCGGGAGCACGUCGAAAAUAUUAGCUAACAAGAGCACAGUUACUUUCAUUCGUAUUUUCACCGCUUUGAGUGCCUCUGUUAUAAAUGAAAAGGAAUACACUCAGCUAUUGUGUCCACAUUCUUAGUUACUUACCACUUGUGGGCCUUUACAAAACGACACAAAGGCAUAACAAACAGUGAUACGCGAUACAGGGCAAGCUGUGUAGAUUUAUUUGGCAUCAGAACGAUUUUAUGACAUGGCACCUUUGGAAAAUUGGGGAACUAUUAGAAAAUGUCGAUUUCCGCUGGGUUAUCAACGAAUGACAGAUUUCGAGUUGCAGCAAUCUGUACAAAGAUUGACAGUUCACCGACCUACUAAGCAACGGCCAUGGUGGGAAAACGAUUUCAAACACAAGAGAGCAAGC